rnacentral:rRNA from 1 species
UACGUAGGGGGCUAGCGUUGUCCGGAAUCAUUGGGCGUAAAGAGCGCGUAGGCGGCCAGAUAAGUCCGGUGUGAAAGUCACAGGCUCAACCUGUGAAUGCCGCUGGAAACUGUCUGGCUAGAGUCCGGGAGGGGCGAGUGGAAUUCCUGGUGUAGCGGUGAAAUGCGCAGAUAUCAGGAGGAACACCGGUGGCGAAGGCGGCCAUCUGGACGGUAAACUGACGCUGAGACGCGAAAGCGUGGGGAGCGAACAGG